rnacentral:rRNA from 1 species
AAAGACUUGACGGUACUUCACAACAACCUAGAGGAGCCUGUCCAAUAACCGAUACUCCACGAUCAACCCAACCCGCCCUAGCAAACAGUCUAUAUACCGCCGUCGCCAGCUUACCUUGUGAAAGGUACUAUAGUAAGCCAAACAGUCACAACACUAACACGACAGGUCGAGGUGUAACUAAUGGACGGGGCCAAGAUGGGCUACAUUUUCUAACCCAGAAAACACGAAUAAGUCUAUGAAAAAAGAAAAUGAAGGCGGAUUUAGCAGUACGCUAAGAACAAAUAUACCUA